CUUAAAAAAAAUCAUAAGAUUAGCUAAAAAACGUGUGUGUGUUGUUUUUGUCUUCUGGCUUUUGAACUGUUAGGUUUUGCAUUUUCAAGCUUUUUCCAUGAUCAUGUGGUCUAAAACUGACUUUUCAUUUUAAAGGAACGCUGAGAUUGUGAUGCAUUCACAUGACUCUAGGAAACGGAGCUUUAAGAAAAAACUACUUUUGUGAGACUUGUGAAAUCUGCAAGAGCUGAAAGCACUGCGGAAUUCAGAGCCUGCCCUGUUCCUGUAUGAGUCACUGGCUUUCCUGAGCCCUUAUAUUUCUGCAGCCGGUCAGCGUCCAUCAGCUGCCUCCUGGCUGCGUCUACCCCUCCUCCUGCAAUGAAGUGUUUAACAGAUCUGUGUAACGUACUCGGAUUCCACUGUCUCAGCUUUCAUUUAAAUAACCAGGUCAACAUGUUCAAACCAGUGUGCCUACUUCAGCUCCUAGGAAAUUAGACAUUUAAUAGAAAUACCCUGAGUUUUAGAGGGGCUGAGAAACCUUAGAUCCUAUUGAAGGCAAUGGAGUUACUCCAGAUUUACACCAGCUUCUCUGAGAGCAGAAUCUGGCCCUGAACCUUUCUGCCUUGGAGGCAUGGCCAAGAGCCAAUGAACUGAGUACAUUUGCUCUGGACGCCACCCAGUUUUGUCACUGUUCUCACUCAUUAACUCAGCAAUAGAAGAAGAGAACUUGCUGCUUUUGUGUGCUGGUUUACAAAGAUACGGACUGGCAGCUCUUUGCCUGGGAUAUUACAAAUUGCUAUGAGCAUGGGGAAGGCUGCUGUGCCCCAAGAUCUGGAGCAGGAAAGUUCCAGGCAACACCCGCAGCUGUCAUCUGGCUUUGAUAGCCAUCCUCUAGGAGAGCCAGAGUGGAGAGAUGAUGACGAAUAAAAUCUCCCCAAGGAGGAGGAGGAGGAAAUCUGCCACUGGAAGAAGGAGCUAGGAAUGAGUUGUCUGCCUCUCCCAGCGCCCCUGUGGUAUUGAGCUGUGAAUGGAAGAGACAGCACUGAGGCUUGUAUGAAAUAGAGGGCUAGUCAACAGUCGAUUGACAAGGCAUCCCCACUUCUGAGGAUGGCAGCGCCUGCUGCCUCUAGGAUGCUUUGCAUCCACACACGGCUUUCCCCUGGUGGGAUGUCACCUCCUUUGAGUGGAGCAAAGACUCAUUCCCACCUUCUGCAGUGUCCCAUCAGGGUGGGUGGGAGCACUCUGGUGAUUGCAGCUGCAUCAGGCAGUUGAUCCUCCCAACUGCAUCUACAAAAUCACAGGGCACUUCCCUUCUCAGCAGGACUGCGAGCGGCCAAGGCACUGAUGUUGCUGCUCUUGGGCCUUCAGAACAUGCCCCCUUCCCAUUCAAACAGGCUUGAGAGGGAGAAAAGAGCCUGAGCUCCCCCUCUGCUACCGCCUGCAGCAACAGGGGCUGGGGUGCUCAGGAAAGAACCAAUUAGUGGCGCAAACUACUGGAAUGGUCAAUAGCAUCCAGUCUAAUGGAGGUUUAAUAAUAUCUCCCUCCUGUCCUCUUCUCUUUCCAUCCCAAUUUGAGAUGUGAGGGUCUCUUUUCUUAUUGUAGUUUAAUGAAUAAAUGACAUGAAUCUAGCUUCUCCUUAAUUUUGCUGAUUUCCUAAUCUCUCUCUAGAGAUCAGCACCAGGAAUUAUGGCAAAGAUGCUGCCUCAGGCAUCCCACUAAGAAAUCCAUGUGUGGAAAACAGGCAGUUACUGGCUAAAUCUUGCCCCUCCCUGGCAAACAGACUAGAACCCUGGUCCUUCAGCUCCAAAAACAUUAGCUUCUGUUCUUUGAUCUAAAGGAAGUUUCCUUGAACAGAUAGUAAUUCCUUUAUCCUCACUAUGGGGUGUAGCCAUUAAGGGGUGACUUCACACAAUAUAUGACCUCCUGGGAGGGAGAGGAGAUUGGGGCAGGGGGGAAGUGCCAACCCUUGGUUUACUUCCUGGUGGCCCCUAGUUUAUCCUUAGAUAUCCAAUCUCCAGACAGUGCCCCAGUUAGGGAUUCCCCCAGGCAGCACCUAGGCCCCAGUUUACCUCCAGACACUUAGAUGCCACCAGCUUCCCUCUCAGACACCCCAUCUGAUCCCCACAAACACUACUCCGCAGCAGCCACCCCAAGCUUUCCAUCCAUCUACCCAGUGCCCCCAGCACUCAACACAGCUGCCAAAACGUCAUGUCCUACCCCCUUUCAGUGGUUGGGGCAAGAUGUACUGACCGCGGGCUGGAAUUUGCAGAUAUGAAAAUUAGCUAAGUUACAUAAUGCCACAUGCACAGAAUUUGGCAACUAUGCAUGGGGGUUUAGAUGAAUGACCUACCAGUCCUCUUGGAACAAUCCCCAAAGCCAGGACUCCAACAAAGUGCCUGCUGUGUACUGAUGAUCUGGACAUACUAUCACGGACACCAAAGGGUCUCUACAGAAAUUUACACCACUUAGAAACAUAGCCCCUACCAGCUAUGGAAAAAACAAACAUUAUGGUAUUUCAGAAGAAUCUCCAAAACAGUCAGGUUUUAUUACAGAGACAAGAAAAUUGGACACACUCUAAAUGAUACAUACCGGGCCCUCAUAAAUCCAUCAGGAAACUUCAGAUUAGCUAGCAGAGCCCUACAGGACAAGGUUCUACAAGUCUUCUAUGCCAUAAAGAAACCACUGAAUAUAUACAACCUCCCCAAUAAAACUACCUGACCGCAUAAUCCAACCAUUUUACUACAGGGAAAUGAAGCCUGAAGCCCAAUUCUAAGAGCCAACUACAGUGACUGGGAUAAAAUCCUCCACCUGCAGUUCUGCAAACAUACGCCACAGGCACGGGAACUCCAGCAGUAAUAGCUGCAGACCAGAACUAGACCAAGUUCCCUGGAAAUCGGCAUCCAGAAAAGAAUAUUCAACUUCUGAUGCCACUUCCUGGAAAGCACCAAACACUCCUCACAUUGCAAAAUACUAGGGGGAUCAAAAACUAAAUCCAAAUGAAAUUAUCCACAUCUUAUAUCUUUGCUCCCCAGGAUCAACAAUUCCAACCACCUAGCCAAUGGAGCAAACAAUUAAAACGGAAAUGUGAUCAACAUGUCAGACCAGUACUACCUCAAACACCACUGGACAAGGCACGGGAAAGAACAAAUCAAAAGUUUGACUCCAGCAGGUACUAUGAUACAGGGCCAGGCAAAACUAACACAGAUUCUCUCCAAAUACAGAACCAGUGACCACUUGAGGUGGAAAUCCGAAGUUCCGAAGUCCAGCCUUAACCCAUGAUGUCCACAUGACACAGGAGAGAUUGGGACAGCUGUCCCAAUAUGCCAGUGUCCCAAAUAUGAAGGUGUGAGAAAGUUUAAGGAAAGCUAUCAGGAACCCUAAAAGAUGUCUCAUCAAAAACGAAUGAAGAAAAACUAACUGCUCCUGGAAGAAAGGGCAGAGACAGUAUGGGGUGACAAGCCACCAGAUUAGGGAUGGACAAUAAUGAUAAAGGAACACAGGUGAUCACAUCCCAAACAGCGUGUGUGGCCCCUAUGCUGUGUUGGCUGUCACCCAACCCUGACAGAUAUCUGAGGGGCCUGUUUUCCCCCUCCACUGGCAACAUUUGUGUAGCUCCACAUGCCAGUCUAGCUCCACAUGUCAGUGAAAACUCAUUGAAUUGUACCCAGUGGAGCUGGGCUCUGAUGGGGAAGAAAGAGGGAGAUAAGGGGGUCCCAGUGCAGGGGGUGAUGUAGAGGUUGUGACCCCCACCACUGUACAAAGUGCUAGCCAAGCAUAGGGGUGUACCUG